AUAUUUAUUAAACCCUUAUGUGACAGGCACUGAACAAAAGACUGAGAGUAUGAAUACAAGCAAAAAAUACAUUUCCUACCCUUAAAUUACUUUCAUUCUAGAGAAAAGCUAAUGACACGUAAGAGAGCUGGAAAGGGGAUAGGGAAGGGCAGGAUCUGGAGAGUGAUCAGUAGAACUGGCAGUGAUCUGGGCACCCCAUGAAAUGAGGUUUCAGAGUAGAGACUCACUAAUCAGGAGAGUCAAAGGGUGGGGACAUCUGCAGGACAUGAGAAGGUCUAGAAAGUAAGGAGUAGAGCUUGGAGUUAGUGCAGUGCUUGUCGCAGAGUUAAUAUUUAAUAUAUUUUUUUUUAUUUGUUCAGGAAAGGGAGCUGAUCUUGAAGGCAGAAUGAGUGAGAUCUAGUAAUUAACCCUGAGGAAGUCAGGAGUCCCACCUUGCCUGUAAAAGAGGUACCUUAUUUUGGAGUCGGGGGAGGAGAAUAGAAGGAUGCAAUGUGGAUGAGUAACUUUACCUGUAUUAAACAGAGGCUUUUCAUGUGAACCAAGUAUUUACCAAUUUGAAAACAGGAAGAGGAAGUUGUCAAAAUAUAGCUAAAUGGCCUUGCCCUAGAAGACUGAGAGGUUCAGGCUUCAGAAUCCCUUACAAAAAGGGGAACAGGCUUCCUUACUUUCAGCAGAAAUUUAAAAGCAAUGAAAUGGAGUUGAGAAGACACAAUCCCCCAGAUCACAAAUAACAACCGACUUACAGUGGCAAUACAUGUGACCAUAUUUAAACAAAGGAG